rnacentral:rRNA from 1 species
ACGAACGCUGGCGGCGUGCUUAACACAUGCAAGUCGAACGGAAAGGCCCUGCUUUUGUGGGGUGCUCGAGUGGCGAACGGGUGAGUAACACGUGAGUAACCUGCCCUUGACUUUGGGAUAACUUCAGGAAACUGGGGCUAAUACCGGAUAGGAGCUCCUGCUGCAUGGUGGGGGUUGGAAAGUUUCGGCGGUUGGGAAUGGACUCGCGGCUUAUCAGCUUGUUGGUGGGGUAGUGGCUUACCAAGGCUUUGACGGGUAGCCGGCCUGAGAGGGUGACCGGCCACAUUGGGACUGAGAUACGGCCCAGACUCCUACGGGAGGCAGCAGUGGGGAAUAUUGCACAAUGGGCGGAAGCCUGAUGCAGCAACGCCGCGUGCGGGAUGACGGCCUUCGGGUUGUAAACCGCUUUCGCCUGUGACGAAGCGUGAGUGACGGUAAUGGGUAAAGAAGCACCGGCUAACUACGUG